GAAAAUAUGAGCAUGGUGAACAUUAAUUCUGAGAACAACUAACAACUAUGCGGAAUGUGUUCUAAACGUUUGAACCUCGGGAGACUUUCGUCUUUUCCGGUUUCUGCAAAACACACCAUGACCCGGGGACGCUUCAUUGCUUCCUGUCGAAUUAAGCCGUGUUCAACACCAUGCAGUCCCGCCCUAAUGAGACCACUGGAGGACAGCGAGACAGAGGGAGAAGUAGCGAGGGAGGGGACGAGAAAUGAUGCAGGCUCUGAGAAAAAGGAGAACUGUACCACAGGGGAGAUAAGCAGAAUGGAGGCAGCCAUUGUAUUUGACCAAAAAAAAAAAAUAAUAAUAAUAAACCCAACCGGGGUUCUUGAAACAUCGCAUGGUUACCUUGAGU